ensembl:snoRNA
AUCCUUUUGUGGCACCUAAGCAUGGUAAUUGGGUUGUCAUCCAACUGUGUGAGACCUGCCUCCUUCAAACCUUGUUGCAAUAUCUGCACAUUGUCAUAUGAUG